AGGAUGAACGCUGGCGGCGUGCCUAACACAUGCAAGUCGAACGGAUGCCUUCGGGCAUUAGUGGCGCACGGGUGAGUAACACGUGGUUGACCUACCCCAAAGUAGGGGAUAACGUUCCGAAAGGAAUGCUAAUACCCUAUAAGCUCCCGGCUUUUAGAACCCUGGGAGAAAAGUUCCGGCGCUUUGGGAGGGGACUGCGGACCAUCAGCUAGUUGGUGUGGUAAAGGCGCACCAAGGCAACGACGGUUA
rnacentral:rRNA from 1 species